CAAUGCUGGACUUACAAGUAUGUUCAUCGCCACACUGAAUGUCAUGAAGUGGCCAAAAAAUUCAUCUUUAAGGACACCUUCAGCACAAUCUUUCCUGUGUAUAACAUAAACCGCCCAUGGAAGGGAUGUGUGGACGAAGGUUGGUGAGCCUGCUGCUGACCUCCUCUAUUUGGGUUGCUGACAUCUUCAGGACGUUCACUCCUCUGCACCACAUGAAGAGAAGCCUCUUCAUUACACUCAAUGGGAAAUGCACUGAUCAUGUUUAUGUUCAAAUCCAAAAGCGGGGUGCUACCAUGAUGAUGCAUGCCCUGUGUCUGUUGGUGGAAGGAGUCGUCGCUAUGAGCCACCGGCUCUGGGGCUUGGCCACUGGACUGGUUGUUGACGUCCAUCACCAUGUCUUCCAGGAAUUCCAGAUUCUGUGGCUUAGCACCACCACAAGUCAGGGUGAUGGGGAAGACACUGAUUUUCAAUGGACAGCACAAAGAAUGGGCCACAUUGUUCUUCCUGAGCUCUUAAACAGGGGUAGCCCAUCUACGUUGAAGGAAAGGUCAACACAGUCAGGGACCUGAGCCUCGUUUCCCGAAAGCGUUGUUAGCCUAAGUGAAUCGUGAAGUACUCCAGGGUUACUCGUAGGUACUCGUAGGACGCUAAGAGCAUCGUUAGCCUACUAUCAGUGGCGUCACCAUCGGACAUUCCGUG
ensembl:lncRNA